UACGUAGGGGGCAAGCGUUGUCCGGAUUUAUUGGGCGUAAAGAGCGUGUAGGCGGCCAGUCAGGUCCGUUGUGAAAACUGGAGGCUUAACCUUCAGACGUCGAUGGAAACCGUCGGGCUAGAGUCCGGAAGAGGAGAGUGGAAUUCCUGGUGUAGCGGCGAAAUGCGCAGAUAUCAGGAAGAACACCCGUGGCUAAGGCGGCUCUCUAGGACGGUACUGACGCUGAGACGCGAAAGCGUGGGGAGCGAACAGG
rnacentral:rRNA from 1 species